CAGGUUUGGCAUCCGAGUGCUGGCAUCCGUGCCAUAAAAGGGAAACCGGUGAAAUUCCGGUACGGACCCGCCGCUGUGAUCGGGGACGAACGCCGCGCGAAAGCCACUGCCCUUUGUCAGUUGGGCGGGAAGGUGCGGCUGGUAGGGUGAUCCGAGAGUCAGAAGACCUAACAUUCGGUGUGCACCUGGG
rnacentral:ncRNA from 1 species